AAGUCGAACGCGUUGGCCCAAUUGAUUGAUGGUGCUUGCACCUGAUUGAUUUUGGUCGCCAACGAGUGGCGGACGGGUGAGUAACACGUAGGUAACCUGCCCAGAAGCGGGGGACAACAUUUGGAAACAGAUGCUAAUACCGCAUAACAGCGUUGUUCGCAUGAACAACGCUUAAAAGAUGGCUUCUCGCUAUCACUUCUGGAUGGACCUGCGGUGCAUUAGCUUGUUGGUGGGGUAAUGGCCUACCAAGGCGAUGAUGCAUAGCCGAGUUGAGAGACUGAUCGGCCACAAUGGGACUGAGACACGGCCCAUACUCCUACGGGAGGCAGCAGUAGGGAAUCUUCCACAAUGGGCGCAAGCCUGAUGGAGCAACACCGCGUGAGUGAAGAAGGGUUUCGGCUCGUAAAGCUCUGUUGUUAAAGAAGAACACGUAUGAGAGUAACUGUUCAUACGUUGACGGUAUUUAACCAGAAAGUCACGGCUAACUACGUGCCAGCAGCCGCGGUAAUACGUAGGUGGCAAGCGUUAUCCGGAUUUAUUGGGCGUAAAGAGAGUGCAGGCGGUUUUCUAAGUCUGAUGUGAAAGCCUUCGGCUUAACCGGAGAAGUGCAUCGGAAACUGGAUAACUUGAGUGCAGAAGAGGGUAGUGGAACUCCAUGUGUAGCGGUGGAAUGCGUAGAUAUAUGGAAGAACACCAGUGGCGAAGGCGGCUACCUGGUCUGCAACUGACGCUGAGACUCGAAAGCAUGGGUAGCGAACAGGAUUAGAUACCCUGGUAGUCCAUGCCGUAAACGAUGAGUGCUAGGUGUUGGAGGGUUUCCGCCCUUCAGUGCCGGAGCUAACGCAUUAAGCACUCCGCCUGGGGAGUACGACCGCAAGGUUGAAACUCAAAGGAAUUGACGGGGGCCCGCACAAGCGGUGGAGCAUGUGGUUUAAUUCGAAGCUACGCGAAGAACCUUACCAGGUCUUGACAUCUUGCGCCAACCCUAGAGAUAGGGCGUUUCCUUCGGGAACGCAAUGACAGGUGGUGCAUGGUCGUCGUCAGCUCGUGUCGUGAGAUGUUGGGUUAAGUCCCGCAACGAGCGCAACCCUUGUUACUAGUUGCCAGCAUUAAGUUGGGCACUCUAGUGAGACUGCCGGUGACAAACCGGAGGAAGGUGGGGACGACGUCAGAUCAUCAUGCCCCUUAUGACCUGGGCUACACACGUGCUACAAUGGACGGUACAACGAGUCGCGAACUCGCGAGGGCAAGCAAAUCUCUUAAAACCGUUCUCAGUUCGGACUGCAGGCUGCAACUCGCCUGCACGAAGUCGGAAUCGCUAGUAAUCGCGGAUCAGCAUGCCGCGGUGAAUACGUUCCCGGGCCUUGUACACACCGCCCGUCACACCAUGAGAGUUUGUAACACCCAAAGUCGGUGGGGUAACCUUUUAGGAGCCAGCCGC
rnacentral:rRNA from 1 species